CAUCAACUGCUGGCAGGUUACAGCCAAGUAUGCUGUCCGAUGUUACCUCACACAUCUGACCAUGCCAGGCUCAGGAUUUAGACGCUGUGCCUCUCCAGAAUACGGACAGCAGAAGCACUGUGGAGAGUGUCCCUACAGCCUGGUACGGGAAUACCAAUACCCAAGGAUGGAAGAACCUACAAAAAUUAGUGGAUACAGACCAGACCAUCAGAGACAAUGCCCCCCACCCCGCCCCACACCAAUUGAGCACAUCUGGAAGGAGUGCUGUCUCAAGGACAACAGCAUCUAUCGUCAAGGACCCCACCAUCCGAGUCAUGCUUUCUCCUUGCUGCUGCCAUCGUGAUGGAAGCAUAGGGGCCUUAGCUCCCACAUCACCAGGUUCAAGAGCACUUCUUACCCUUCAACCAUCAGGCUCUUGAACAGGCAUGAAUAACUUCACUCACCACAACUCCGAACUGAUUCUGCAACAUGUGGAUUCACUUUCA